CCUACGGGUGGCAGCAGUGGGGAAUAUUGGACAAUGGGGGGAACCCUGAUCCAGCCAUGCCGCGUGUGUGAAGAAGGCCCUCGGGUUGUAAAGCACUUUCAGUGAGGAAGAACGCCUGGUGGUUAAUACCCAUCAGGAAAGACAUCACUCACAGAAGAAGCACCGGCUAACUCCGUGCCAGCAGCCGCGGUAAUACGGAGGGUGCGAGCGUUAAUCGGAAUUACUGGGCGUAAAGCGCGCGUAGGUGGCUUGAUAAGCCGGUUGUGAAAGCCCCGGGCUCAACCUGGGAACGGCAUCCGGAACUGUCAAGCUAGAGUGCAGGAGAGGAAGGUAGAAUUCCCGGUGUAGCGGUGAAAUGCGUAGAGAUCGGGAGGAAUACCAGUGGCGAAGGAGGCCUUCUGGACUGACACUGACACUGAGGUGCGAAAGCGUGGGUAGCAAACAGGAUUAGAUACCCUAGUAGUC
rnacentral:rRNA from 1 species